AAGUGUCGCGCUACGGCCCUUCGGUCUCAUUUUUUUCGCGACGUUACGGUCGGGGCGCACUUUUGGACGCUGAAGAAUGGAGAAGAGCCGACUUGUUAGGAUGUGGUUCAGCUCAAAAAGCCUUACAGGCUGGAGGAUGGGACAAGACCUGUCGCGCAAACUAGGUAUUAACAGUAAUGCUCCAGCAUCUCAUCACUAGGCCUGAGGAAUCCAACUGCCUCCCAGGGUGAAUACAGGUUGUCCUGAUGGUGACACGUUUCUCUGUCUUAAAGCUCCAUGCCCAACGUGGGGCUCAAACUCAUGACCUCGAGCUCGAGUCGAAUGCUCCACCAACUGAGCCAGCCAGGCGUCCCUUGAUCUAUUUCUUCUAGAUGUUCAUUGAUUAUUCUGCCCAGGGUUGAACUUUGGAAAGCGUUAAGGAUGGAGCAGCUUGUUCCUGUGUGCUGCCCAAAAGCCUCCGGAGUUAACAGGUGCUGUUACCCAUUAACCUGCUUGUCUGCUCAAAGGUCCAGUGCCUUAUGUGGAGCCCAAGAAUGAUUGAAGGAACCCUCAGCCACUUUGCUGAUCAGCUCCAGUCUGAAGACAGAGGUCUGAAGAAAGAACAAGGCCUAUAUCACAGGAAUCCAGUUCUUCAGGGAUACCAAAAGGAAAUCUUCAGGUCAUUUUUUUUGUACAACCUAGCUGUGGAAAUUAGCAUACAGUUGUUUCGGCCUUUUUAAAUAAAAGUUUAACCUUCA